ACUCUAGGAGCACCUCCAAUGG
rnacentral:siRNA from 1 species